rnacentral:snRNA from 1 species
AUCGCUUCUCGGCCUUUUGGCUAAGAUCAAGUGUAGUAUCUGUUCUUAUCAGUUUAAUUCAUAGGGUAACUUCUCAUAUCUUUUUAAAAAUAUAUUUUUAUUGAUUUCAGAGAGGAAGGGAGAGGGAGAGAGAAGUAGGAACAUCA